GAGGAAUGAUGAUCUUCCACUUCAUUGGUCCGUGUUUCUGAAACCUGUGAUUUCAUGGAAGUUCUGACCUU